UUCUUUCUUCUUUUUUCCCCUCUUCUCCUCUAUUUUCGCAGCAGCCCAGCCCUCAUCUCUUUCUCUUUCUUUCCUUUUCUUUUUCUCUCUUCUCUUCCCCUUCUAUCGGUCACAGCAGCAGCCCCUCCCCUAUUCCAACACCUGAUUCCCUCUCCCUUUUUCCUUCUCUUCCAUUUUCUUCCUCUCCUCGUCUCACUGCCAUGCACGCACACGCACACCAGCCCAUGAGAGAUUGAGAGAGUGAGACGCAGAGAUGGAGAGACCCGUGAGCAAAACCCGUUGAACAGUGCACGAAGCCGACAAACAGCGGUUUCAGUGGUGAUUCCGGCGAAGCAAAGCUGAAACCCGACUGCUUGAAGGUUGAUUUCCGGCGGAACCCGACGAACCCAGGAGCCCCGAUCGGGAAGACCCGUGACCCGAGACCCAUUAAACCCGACCAUCUAUGAGCGGUUUCCGGCGAGUUUUCCGGCGACCCAGUGAGGGAUUUCCGACGAUUUCUAAUGGAUUUUCUAUGGAAUUUCUAGGGAUCGUGUCAUAGUUGGAGACUUCAACGGGUUCUCCAAUGUAGAGUUCGAGUCGUGAGUCCAAUGCAGCCAAGGUACUUCGGUAUAGUCGAUGGGUCGGUAGCAGUGUGCUUGGGAUAUUAUGACUGAAGCUCGUCGCGACAGUUGUAAUUGUCGGACCACGGGUUGUCCACUAUUUUAUAGGUUUGGUAUGGCUUGUGACGUUUGUGUCACUUAUUAAUUGUUAAGCCAUUAUUGUUAUAGUGUUAAUAAGACUCAAACAGAUAGAUGUUAAAUGGCUCUUUGUUGUAAUUAACUUGUGAUAGAUGUAUAAGUUGUAAUUUCCGCUAUUCAGAUUUAUGUUUUCCGCUGCAUAGAUAGAUGUAUGUUAUACUCUGAUUAUCAGGUACAUGUUAUGGGGCAUGUGCCAUAUGUUGGCUGAGCGACA